AUUGAACGCUGGCGGUAUGCUUAACACAUGCAAGUCGAACGGUAACAGGCCUUCGGGCGCUGACGAGUGGCGGACGGGUGAGUAACGCGUAGGAAUCUGCCUCAUAGUGGGGGACAACGUGUGGAAACGCACGCUAAUACCGCAUACGCCCUGCGGGGGAAAGCGGGGGACCUUCGGGCCUCGCGCUAUGAGAUGAGCCUGCGUUAGAUUAGCUAGUUGAUAGGGUAAAGGCCUACCAAGGCGACGAUCUAUAGCUGGUCUGAGAGGACGAUCAGCCACACUGGGACUGAGACACGGCCCAGACUCCUACGGGAGGCAGCAGUGGGGAAUAUUGGACAAUGGGCGCAAGCCUGAUCCAGCAAUACCGCGUGUGUGAAGAAGGCCCUAGGGUUGUAAAGCACUUUCAAUAGGGAGGAAAACCUGUCGGUCAAUACCCGGCAGCUUGACAUUACCUACACAAGAAGCACCGGCUAACUCCGUGCCAGCCGCCGCCGUAACAC
rnacentral:rRNA from 1 species